UGCCCGGUGGUGUAGUGGUAGCACGAAGGACUUUGAAUCCUCAGACCCAGGUUCGAAUCCUGGCCGGGCAGCCA
rnacentral:tRNA from 1 species